rnacentral:lncRNA from 1 species
UCUACCAGAGAAGACCUCAGAACUAAACUGGCUGUGAGAACCAAGCUCCCUUGAAACCAGUGCAAGGCAGCUCACUCACAGUGCUGUCUUCUCCCUCCACCCAUGGAUCCGGAGCACCAUGGCUGCUCUCUUUCCUCCUCUGGGUUAUUUGGACAGCUCAAGAAGGAAGAGCAAGUGUGACAUUCAAUUCAGAUCAAUGGACAGGCAUGGCCCACAAGUCUGACUGCAGAAAUCUCAGCGAAGGAGCCAAGAGCUGGUGAGUAAAAUGUGCUUCAACUGCCCAUCAGGCAGACGGUCACAAGUGGAAAGAUUCAUAAUAAAGAAUAGUUUUUCCUGAACCGAUAGAUGGCA